CCCUUAGAUGUUCUGGGCCGCACGCGCGCUACACUGAUGCAUUCAACGAGUCUAAAACCUGGUCUGAUAGGGCUGGGUAGUCUUUUGAAAGUGCAUCGUGAUUGGGAUAGAUGAUUGCAAUUCUUCAUCUUCAACGAGGAAUGCCUAGUAAACGCAAGUCAUCAGCUUGCAUUGAUUACGUCCCUGCCCUUUGUACACACCGCCCGUCGCUCCUACCGAUUGAAUGAUCCGAUGAAUACCAUGGAUUGAGAGUACGAAUGGGUUCGCUCAUUUCUGCUGCUCGAGAAGUGGAGUAAAUCUUAUCAUUUAGAGGAAGGAGAAGUCGUAACA
rnacentral:rRNA from 1 species